rnacentral:rRNA from 1 species
GACGAACGCUGCGGCGUGCUUAACACAUGCAAGUCGAACGGGAACACACUGUGCUUGCACACCGUGUUUUCUUGAGUCGCGAACGGGUGAGUAACGCGUAGGUAACCUGCCUAUUAGCGGGGGAUAACUAUUGGAAACGAUAGCUAAUACCGCAUAAUAUUAAUUAUUGCAUGAUAAUUGAUUGAAAGAUGCAAGCGCAUCACUAGUAGAUGGACCUGCGUUGUAUUAGCUAGUUGGUAAGGUAAGAGCUUACCAAGGCGACGAUACAUAGCCGACCUGAGAGGGUGAUCGGCCACACUGGGACUGAGACACGGCCCAGACUCCUACGGGAGGCAGCAGUAGGGAAUCUUCGGCAAUGGACGAAAGUCUGACCGAGCAACGCCGCGUGAGUGAAGAAGGUUUUCGGAUCGUAAAGCUCUGUUGUAAGUCAAGAACGUGUGUGAGAGUGGAAAGUUCACACAGUGACGGUAGCUUACCAGAAAGGGACG